AAAACUGGCUGCAAUCUACAAAUUGAUAGAUCAGCUGUCCAGAAGGAAAUACAAAGAAUCAAGAGUAUGGUAGAAAAUUCUGGACAUUGCUGGAGACUGGAGAUUCAAGAGAGUAAUGGUCCCUGUCUUCCUGAAACCUAAUGUCUGCCUUCACAGCAUCUCCACCAAGAGGAGACUGUCUCAAGAAACCACUUGUUUUUUGGCUCAACCAUAAGAAGCAACUCACCUGUUGAAGUUUCACUAUGAGAUUGCAGCAAUUCAGUCACUCUUCAGACUGUGCUUCUAAUUCUAGUUCUCUUGCUAUUUCUACCACAUGUCUAUUUCCUUCACUGAAGUCUUGAACCCCUCAAAGUCAUCCAUGAGGGCUGGGAAUUAACUUCUUCCAAACUCCUGUUAGUGUUGAUAUUUUGACCUCUUCCAAUGAAUCACGAAUGUUCUUAAUGGCAUCUAGAAUAGUGAAUCCUUUCCAGAAGGUUUUCAAUUUACUUUGGCCAGAUCCAUCAGAGGAAUCACUAUCUAUGGCGGCUAUAGCCUUACAAAAUGUAUUUCUUAAGUAAUAAGACUUGAAAGUCAAAAUCACUCCUUGAUCCACGGGCUGCAGAAUGAUGCUGUGUUUGCAGGCAUGAAAACAACAUUAACCUUGUACAUCUCCAUCAGAGCUCUUGGUGACCAAAUGUUGUCAAUGAGCAGUAGUAUUUUGAAAGGAAUCUUUUUUUCUAAGCAGUAGGUCCCAACAGUGGGCAUUAGAUAAUAUAACUUUAUUGUGUGCAGCAGCCCUUUUCACACCAAGUAUUAGUUUUUCCAUGUGAAAUAAGUUAAGAUUUAAAAUGAUAAAGUUAUUGUUAAGGAGAUGCAUUGGGCAAUAGAAAAAGCUGAGGAGAGUUUUUAUCUGAAACUGGAAAACAGAACAGUCUGGAAAAAAAGGACCACACGUUGCUAAGACCAGAAAAGGAGCUUGGAGACCAUGCUGUAAUUAUGUUGUAAACAGAUGUGCUGUCAUCCAGGCUUUGUUGUUCCAUUUACAUUAUAUAGUCAGAGUACAUUUAGUAGAUUUUAAGGGCCCUAAGAUUUCUGGAAUGGUAAAUGAGUACUGGCUUCAACCUAAAGUCACCAGCUGCAUUAGCCCCUAACAAGAGUCAGCCUGUCCCUUGAAGCCAGGCACUGACUUCUCCUCUCUAGCUAUGACAAAGUCCUAGAUGGCACCUUCUUCCAAUAGAAAGCUGUUUCGUCUACACUAAAAAGCUGUCGUUUACUGUAGCCAACUUCAUUAUUUUAGCUAGAUCUUCUGGAUAACUUGCUGUAGCUUCUACAUCAGCACUUGCUGCUUCACUUUGCACUUUUAUGUUAUGGAGAUGGCUUCCUUCCUUAAAUCUUAUGAACCAACCUCUGCUGGCUUCAAACUUUUCUGCAGCUACCUUAUCUCUUUAGGCUUUCAUAGAACUAAAGAGAGUUAGGGCCUUCUCUGGAUUAGACUUUGCCUUAAGGGAACGUUGUGAACGGUUUAAUCUUCUAUCCAGGCCAUUAAACUUUCUACAUAUGAGCAAGAAGGCUGUUUUGUUUUCUAAUCAUUUAUGUGUUCACCGGAGUAGCACUUUUAAUUUCCUUUAAAAACUUUUCCUUUGCAUUCAUAACUUGGCUAAGCAGCGCCUACCUUUUGGCCUAUCUCGGUUUUCAACAUGCAGUCCUCACUAAACUUAAUCGUUUCUAGAUUCUGAUUAAAGUGAGAGACACAACUUCUCCUUUCACUUGAACACUUAGAGGCCAUUGCAGUGUUAUUAAAUGGCCUAAUUUCAAUAUUCGUUGUAUCUCAAGGAAUAGGGAGGCCUGAGGAAAGGGAGAGAAACUGGGGAACAGCUGGCAGAUUAAGUUUUGCUAUCUUACAUGGGCAUGGUUUGUGGCACCCAAAAACAAUUACAAGAGUAAUAUCAAACAUCACUGAUCACAGAUCACUAUAACAAAUAUAAUAGUAAUGAAAAAGUCUGAAGUAUUGCAAGAAUUACCAAAGCAUGACACAGAGACAUAAAGUGAGCAGAUGUUGUUGGAAAAAUGGCACUGACAGGCUUACUGGACACAGGGUUGCCACAAACCUUCAAUUUGUAAAAAAUGCAGUAUCUUCAAAUAAAGUGAAGUGUAAUAAAACAAGGUAUGCCUGUGGUUGGUCCUAGUGAAAGGAUAUGAGAAGGAUCUGAGAAGACAAUGUGAGCAUAGCUCCUGCUUGCCAUCACAUACAUGAAUUAUAAAGGGCUAUCCCAGAACUUCCAUACUGAUUUCUUGCCAGCUUAAAAGGUCAAAUUCCAGAUGUGAGGACAAGGUAACAGCUACAGCCCUCUGAAACAAACCAGUAGGCCUUUUUAGGUAAACACUACAGUGAAACAUUUAGAAUGCUGGUCUGGUGAGAUGACCAUCUGUACUAAGAAAGGAUUCACAGGAAAGCAGAUCUUGAGUAGAGAACUUUCACCUACAUGAGAAUAAGAAUCACCUAUGGAGUUUAUAAAUAUAGAUGCCCAGAUCCAGUGAGUCAGAGUGUAUGUAUGUGCAUUAUUUUAAAAAAUAUUUUGUUUUUCUAAUUGUAAUAUAAUACAUGUAUUCACAUUCAAUUAGGGAGUCAAAGUUCCCUGGCUCAAACCCUGUCAAAGCUGUUCUUCUAUAUGUAAACUGACCCAGAUGUACAUAUGUGAAAAUAGAUAUUAUAGUUCUAUAACUUGCCUUUUAAUAUAAUGUAAUGCAUCUCUGACAUUGUUCCAUAAAGGUCUCCAUUAUUAAGCUGCAUAGUAUUCCAUCUUGUAUGGACACACCAUACUCUAAACAUCCACCUAAUGAUGAAAAUUUGGGUUGUUUCCAAUUUUUUAUUAUUGCAAACAGUGUUGCUUUGACCAUGGCACCUGCAUCUUUAAAAGCUCCUUAGGCAAUCUGAUGUACUCCUUGGAUAUAAGCCAUUGCUGUAAGAGGAUUGGCAGAAACUACAUUCUUCAGGUGAAAUUACACACAUUAUUGCAGACAUAAAUCAAUUCUCAUAGUUAGCUAAAAGGCAGGUGAACGU